GGUUUACCUGUGUGACUGCGUACCUUUUGUAUAAUGGGUCAGCGACUUAUAUUCUGUAGCAAGGUUAACCGUAUAGGGGAGCCGUAGGGAAACCGAGUCUUAACCGGGCGUUAAGUUGCAGGGUAUAGACCCGAAACCCGGUGAUCUAGCCAUGGGCAGGUUGAAGGUUGGGUAACACUAACUGGAGGACCGAACCGACUAAUGUUGAAAAAUUAGCGGAUGACCUGUGGCUGGGGGUGAAAGGCCAAUCAAACCGGGAGAUAGCUGGUUCUCCCCGAAAGCUAUUUAGGUAGCGCCUCGUGAAUUCAUCUCCGGGGGUAGAGCACUGUUUCGGCUAGGGGGCCAUCCCGGCUUACCAACCCGAUGCAAACUGCGAAUACCGGAGAAUGUUAUCACGGGAGACACACGGCGGGUGCUAACGUCCGUCGUGAAGAGGGAAACAACCCAGACCGCCAGCUAAGGUCCCAAAGUCAUGGUUAAGUGGGAAACGAUGUGGGAAGGCCCAGACAGCCAGGAUGUUGGCUUAGAAGCAGCCAUCAUUUAAAGAAAGCGUAAUAGCUCACUGGUCGAGUCGGCCUGCGCGGAAGAUGUAACGGGGCUAAACCAUGCACCGAAGCUGCGGCAGCGAACGUAUCACCCAAGACAACUUUACGGAGUUGACGAUUGACGGAGCGAAGCGACGUCAAAGCGUUCAUUAAAGUCGAGUUGGCUUAGGGAUACGUUCGUUGGGUAGGGGAGCGUUCUGUAAGCCUGUGAAGGUGUGUCGUGAGGCAUGCUGGAGGUAUCAGAAGUGCGAAUGCUGACAUAAGUAACGAUAAAGCGGGUGAAAAGCCCGCUCGCCGGAAGACCAAGGGUUCCUGUCCAACGUUAAUCGGGGCAGGGUGAGUCGACCCCUAAGGCGAGGCCGAAAGGCGUAGUCGAUGGGAAACGGGUUAAUAUUCCCGUACUUGGUGUUACUGCGAAGGGGGGACGGAGAAGGCUAUGUUGGCCGGGCGACGGUUGUCCCGGUUUAAGCGUGUAGGUGUGUGUUCCAGGUAAAUCCGGUUCACUUUAACACUGAGGCGUGACGACGAGGCACUACGGUGCUGAAGCAACAAAUGCCCUGCUUCCAGGAAAAGCCUCUAAGCAUCAGGUAACACGAAAUCGUACCCCAAACCGACACAGGUGGUCAGGUAGAGAAUACCAAGGCGCUUGAGAGAACUCGGGUGAAGGAACUAGGCAAAAUGGUGCCGUAACUUCGGGAGAAGGCACGCUGACACGUAGGUGAAGUGAUUUACUCAUGGAGCUGAAGUCAGUCGAAGAUACCAGCUGGCUGCAACUGUUUAUUAAAAACACAGCACUGUGCAAACACGAAAGUGGACGUAUACGGUGUGACGCCUGCCCGGUGCCGGAAGGUUAAUUGAUGGGGUCAGCGUAAGCGAAGCUCCUGAUCGAAGCCCCGGUAAACGGCGGCCGUAACUAUAACGGUCCUAAGGUAGCGAAAUUCCUUGUCGGGUAAGUUCCGACCUGCACGAAUGGCGUAAUGAUGGCCAGGCUGUCUCCACCCGAGACUCAGUGAAAUUGAACUCGCUGUGAAGAUGCAGUGUACCCGCGGCAAGACGGAAAGACCCCGUGAACCUUUACUAUAGCUUGACACUGAACAUUGAGCCUUGAUGUGUAGGAUAGGUGGGAGGCUUUGAAGUGUGGACGCCAGUCUGCAUGGAGCCGACCUUGAAAUACCACCCUUUAAUGUUUGAUGUUCUAACGUGGACCCGUAAUCCGGGUUGCGGACAGUGUCUGGUGGGUAGUUUGACUGGGGCGGUCUCCUCCUAAAGAGUAACGGAGGAGCACGAAGGUUGGCUAAUCCUGGUCGGACAUCAGGAGGUUAGUGCAAUGGCAUAAGCCAGCUUGACUGCGAGCGUGACGGCGCGAGCAGGUGCGAAAGCAGGUCAUAGUGAUCCGGUGGUUCUGAAUGGAAGGGCCAUCGCUCAACGGAUAAAAGGUACUCCGGGGAUAACAGGCUGAUACCGCCCAAGAGUUCAUAUCGACGGCGGUGUUUGGCACCUCGAUGUCGGCUCAUCACAUCCUGGGGCUGAAGUAGGUCCCAAGGGUAUGGCUGUUCGCCAUUUAAAGUGGUACGCGAGCUGGGUUUAGAACGUCGUGAGACAGUUCGGUCCCUAUCUGCCGUGGGCGCUGGAGAACUGAGGGGGGCUGCUCCUAGUACGAGAGGACCGGAGUGGACGCAUCACUGGUGUUCGGGUUGUCAUGCCAAUGGCACUGCCCGGUAGCUAAAUGCGGAAGAGAUAAGUGCUGAAAGCAUCUAAGCACGAAACUUGCCCCGA
rnacentral:rRNA from 1 species